CAUGUAAUCAUGUAUACCACGUGUAGUCAUACAUGAAAUAUAGUGAUUAAUAGAAAUUCUCUUCCCAUUAUGUGGAUGGACAAAUGUUGCUCCGGUCUGCAUAUGGCUGCAGGUGACGCAGCCACUGCAUCUGUAGCAGCCCUUUUUUGGAAUUUUAGAUGUCUUUGCAUAACACUGUCGAGGAUCAUUCUUUACCAAUAGGUCCCUCAAAUUACGGUUACGUCUGUAACUAAUGAC